rnacentral:rRNA from 1 species
AACGAACGCUGGCGGCAGGCUUAACACAUGCAAGUCGAACGCCCCGCAAGGGGAGUGGCGCACGGGUGAGUAACGCGUGGAUAUCUGCCUUUUGGUUCGGAAUAACCCCGGGAAACUGGGGCUAAUACCGGAUGGUUCCUACGGGAUAAAGAUUUAUCGCCAAAAGAUGAGUCCGCGUACGAUUAGCUAGUUGGUGAGGUAAUGGCUCACCAAGGCGACGAUCGUUAGCUGGUCUGAGAGGACGAUCAGCCACACUGGGACUGAGACACGGCCCAGACUCCUACAGGAGGCAGCAGUGGGGAAUAUUGGACAAUGGGGGCAACCCUGAUCCAGCCAUGCCGCGUGAGUGAUGAAGGCCUUCGGGUUGUAAAGCUCUUUUGGCGGGGACGAUGAUGACGGUACCCGCAGAAUAAGCCCCGGCUAACUUCGUGCCAGCCGCCGCAGUAAAAC